UGGCGCAUGGAUUCACGCUCUCCUUUUCAUAUCCUUUGCUUACUACUUCCUCCACUUGCCUCUGCAACUCAUUUGUCUUCUCUGAAUUACUCAGGUAAGCUGGUCGGUUUGAAAUGACAGCUCCAGAUAUGAAGUCGAUUUGGUGCUUAAUGCAUCGAAUAGGUGACAAUCCACUAGGCACAUCCUCCGAGAAUACGUGUUCGAACUCUUGCAACAAAGAUUUAUCCAAACUACGAAGGGGUGGGUUAGAUUCCUCAAGAUUGAGGAGUGAUUCUUUAUAGACCAACAAAAUCAUCUCUUGUCUCUUGAUUACUGCUCUUCUCAACUCACUCCCUUUUGCAAAGAAAUUCGAUUUAGACUUCUCUCCUCUCAGAAAACUUUCUCUCUCUUCGCUCUUGUGGCUCCACUCUUUUUUCUUUCUACUAGCCACUUCACUAUUUUCUCUUGUUUGUCACCUCACCUUUUUCUCUCUUACUCAUCGGUUCACCGUUUCCUCUCUUUUUAUCUAAUCCUCUCACUCUUCACUCUUCUUCAUUUUUCAGUUUGAUUUGGUUUUCAUACACUUGUGUCGGUGUUAAGGGCGCAAGGGUAAUGAACUUUCCAUCCUUAACAAAGCUGUAGCGAUUUUUGUACCCGUCAUGAAUGACUAUCCUAUCGUAUUGCCAUGGUCUCCCUAAUAAAAGAUGUCACGCAUGCAUAGGUACUAUAUCACACACUACUUCAUCAUGAUAAUUAUCGAUUGAGAAAUUUAUCAAUACCUUUCUAUUCACCUUAAUUUCCCCACACUCAUUUAACCAUUGCAGCUUAUAAGAUCAAGGAUGUUUUAAUAAAGUUAGUCCCAAUUUCUUUUCAAAUGCCGUGCUAGCUACAUUUGUGUAACUUCCUCCAUCAAUGAUAUGCUACAUACCUUAUUGUUAAUGUGGCAUCGAGUGUGGAAUAUGUUUUCCCGCUGCUGCUCCAAGUCAUCUGCCUUGAUUUGAGCGUUAAGAACUCGCCUCGUGAUCAAUAGCUCUCCAAUAGCAAACUUCACUUUCUCCCCAUCACAAUUUCCUCCAACUACGACAUCUCAUUACCCUAGUACAAACUUUAAAACUUUUGAUGGAUCUCCCUAUAGUAGUGACUAGGCAUGAACCACUUCCUCAUUAAAGCUUUUAAUUCAUCCCAAGUAUUGAUAGGUCUUUCCUGAUUCCUACGCCGUAAUGCAACCACUUGAUCCCACCAAGUUAUGACAUAAUCAGUGAACUCAAGAACAACUAUCUUUUUCUUCUCCGAAAAGUUAUGGCACUCAAAAAUUAGCUCUACCUUUUUCUUCUACUCUAAAUAUGCCUCCGGAUCAAUUUUUUCCUUAAAUGCGGAAUUGACAUUUUAAUGUUACCCAUGUUCUCAUCUACUUCACCUCCAACGUGAUCCCUACCUCUCCUUUCAAGCCUAGCUCCUCUAUUUCUCAUCCACCCCAUUUCAACCCCUGUUAAUGCAUCUUCAUCCAAUUCACUAUCGUAUUCAUACUCAUCAUGCACUUCCAUCCUAAGCUCUCAUCUACUGAGUCUCAUUGCAUUGGGUACUUCAGCUCAUUUUUUCCUACGAAUAUUGGUAAUCGAUGUGUCAAGCCUAUCCAAUCUAUCUUCCAUAUCCAUUAACAACUUCUGAAACUAUCAUAUCAUAUCUUCAGACGUGUUGAUGUGAUUAUCACCCCUGCUUGAAUUUGAAUCCUCUUUGUCAGACUUUCUAGUUCUAAGAUAUUUCUGUCUCACUGUAUUUCACUCAUGUAUCACUCAAUAUGGCUUUUACCCUCUAUAGAUCUCAUCAUUCUAUCUUUUUCUACUCAGUGCUUUCGUCCAAGUGUUUUAAAGAACAAAUUGAACUCAACCAAGAAUUAGACUCAUGGUUUCCAAACUAGAUGUAAUCAAGAAACGUGACUUCAAGGGAAUUUGAACAAUUGGAAUGAAAUUUUGAAUGGAACUAACAAAAAUUCAAGAAUUGAUUGAAACGAAAUUUUGAAUUGACUAGAAGGAAAUAAAUGUGACCCAAAGAAAGUGAAAAACGACG
rnacentral:lncRNA from 1 species